UACAGAGGGUGCAAGCGUUGUUCGGAAUUACUGGGCGUAAAGCGUGCGUAGUCGGUAUUGAGAGUCGCGGGUGAAAUCCCAGGGCUUAACCCUGGAACUGCCUGCGAGACCUCAGUACUAGAGUGUGAGAGGGGAUAGUGGAAUACCCAGUGUAGCGGUGAAAUGCGUAGAUAUUGGGAAGAACACCGGUGGCGAAGGCGGCGACCUGGUCCAUUACUGACGCUGAGGCGCGACAGCGUGGGGAGCAAACAGG
rnacentral:rRNA from 1 species